CGUAGGUGAUCUACCUCUGGAUUGGGGAUAGCCUGUGGAAACACAGGGUAAUACCGAAGAUACGACCUUACUGCUGUGGUGGUAAGGGGAAAGGCGCUUAGGCGCCGUCCGGAGAUGAGCCUGCGGUCCAUUAGUUAGUUGGCAGGGUAAGAGCCUACCAAGGCGACGAUGGAUAGCCGGCCUGAGAGGGUGUACGGUCACACUGGGACUGAGACACGGCCCAGACUCCUACGGGAGGCAGCAGCUAAGAAUCUUCCGCAAUGGGGGAAACCCUGACGGAGCGACGCCGCGUGGACGAAGAAGGCCGGAAGGUUGUAAAGUCCUUUUCCUGGGGGAGAAUAAGGUAGUGAGGCAAUGUGCUACCGAUGACGUGAACCAGGGAAUAAGCCCCGGCUAAUUACGUGCCAGCAGCCGCGGUAACACGUAAGGGGCGAGCGUUGUUCGGAUUUAUUGGGCGUAAAGGGCGUGUAGGCGGUGGUGCAAGUCUGGUGUGAAAGACCCCGGCUCAACCGGGGAGAUGCGCUGGAAACUGUGCUGCUAGAGUCUAGGAGGGGAAGCUGGAAUUCCUGGUGUAGGGGUGAAAUCUGUAGAGAUCAGGAAGAACACCGGAGGCGAAGGCGAGCUUCUGGCCAUAGACUGACGCUGA
rnacentral:rRNA from 1 species